rnacentral:tmRNA from 1 species
GGGGGUGUUCUGGAUUCUACCCUUGGUUGGCGUGCGCCGCUGCCUGUCGAGAGUCGUGGGUCUCUCGUUAAAUCCCCUGCGAACAAAAUAAACGGCAAGACUGAAGAAAUGCCCUUGGCUGCUUAAUGACAGCCACGUUGGCCCCGCGACACCUGCUAGCGGGAGCCGACGUCGACAGCAGGCAUAGCGCGCGGAGCGGUCCGCGGACCGCGCGCCGUAUCUUCAAUCCGGGGAAUGGCCUGGGCCUCAGCGCGUGCGAUGGCGUGACCCGGGCGACGACAAAGUCGCACUAAACAUGGUAGACGCGGCGCGCAAAGGUCAGGGGCACGCGGGUUCAACUCCCGCCACCUCCAUGC